rnacentral:lncRNA from 1 species
CCCUUUUGUUAGCGGCUGCACCCCGGCUCCCAGAGCGGCGCCAGGCCUGGGGUGAAGCGCUCCUUCUGCCAUGACAGGUGACCGUCACGGUUCCAGGGCUGAGGAUGGGGACCUGUGGCUUGAGAGCCACCGUUCGUUCUCCCCCCAGCGCGUGCCUUCUCCCCCCUCCCCAUGCCCCCUCUGUCUCCCCUCUCUCAGGAUGGAUUAUAGAUAAACAUACUCGUACAGACAGAGAUGCGAGUAUGGCUAGAUACAGAUGCAGCCUUCGGGAAGGAUGGCUGGGGACGGGCUGUCAGGUUCCUCCUGGGCCCCCUGCGGCCAGGAGAACGCAGAAAUAAAAGAAACCUGUGGUUUGCAAAGCUGCUGACCCGGCAGGAGGUGUGAACUGAAUCACCCGGAAGAGGCCUGGGCCAGGGGAUGGAAAACACCCAGAGGCAGAUUCCGGCCUGUUGUGGGAGAAAGUGGGUCACGGUCAGAGCUGUCCUAAGGAGGGGCUGCCUGUGAACAGGCGUGUGCCAGUCAUGGGGGCAGGGGCCCGCUGUCCUGAGAGGGGUCUCUCUGGGUCUAAGGCCUUGCCCUGAUGUCCAUCCAUCUCCCGACAGAGCUCAGCACGUGCUUCUAGAUCCUUCUACCUCUAUAAGGGGACCCCCUGGGCGAUGGGUCAGUCCCAUCGUGCCUUGGGCCUCGGUUUCCUCAUCUGAGGAGAGACUUCCCUUCUGCCUCAGCGGGAGCCAAAAUGGUCCAAGGACCGGGGUGCCGCAUCAUCAGCGGGCCAGCACCCUGGGCUAGGUGGGAGGCGUGAGGGUUCCGGCCCCCGGCGGUGCGCCCGUCUCUGCACCAGCGGCCCCAGAUGGCGGUGCUCCCGCAAGCCUUGCUGACCGCUCGCUCAUCCUCGGUGUCUCUUACUUCCAGAGGCGUCCGCUCCUGUGAUCACGGCCCGUCUGGGCACUGAGGCUCCUGCUGGGCCCACGAGGGGUGCGGGACAGCCUGUUCAUCCACAUGGGGUCUGCGUUCCGGGUCCCCCGCCCUUCCCCACUGUAGCCCCCUCCUGGCCUCCCCUCCUCCGUCCACUCCGCGUUCGGGGCUGUCAGCUGCGUGUUCCCCGAGGCCUGGCCUCCCGCGGAUGCACCGAGUCCCCACCCCUCCAUCCCUACCCCCAGCACUGACCGCAGCCUGGAGCCUCAGACCCGCGUCCUCCCGCCUCCCGGGAGGCUCAGUGGCGUCCCCACACCUGCCCAUCGUCGUCUCCUUCCUCUUCGUUC